CCACCUUCUUGAGCACCAAAAGAGCUCAUUCAGCUGUAUCAUGAGAAUCAGCAGAACAGUCAAACUGGGGCAUUACAAAUGUAAUGUAAAAAAAAAAGGGAAAAAAAAGAAAAGAGGGGGAAAAAGAUGAAAAAAAAUCAAAAAUCAGCAAAAAAAUUUCAAGAUUUCUUCAAAAGAAAAAAGAAAAAUUAUACCCUCAAGUCCCUAGUUGACUGAUGCUGAAUGGAUUC
rnacentral:lncRNA from 1 species